rnacentral:pre_miRNA from 1 species
ACAACAUUCGGACCGUCGGUCUACCGAGAAAUUUAACUCGCUCGGUUGAAGAUCUUCCGUUUGCGA